AGGGUUUGAUUAUGGCUCAGGACGAACGCUGGCGGCGUGCCUAACACAUGCAAGUCGAACGAAGCUCGAAGCUCUGAGAUUUCGGUCAAGGAGCCUAGAUGACUUAGUGGCGAACGGGUGAGUAAUGCGUGAGCAACCUGCCUUUCAGAGGGGGACAACAGCUGGAAACGGCUGCUAAUACCGCAUAACACAUUCAGGUGGCAUCACCUGGAUGUCAAAGGAGCAAUCCGCUGAGAGAUGGGCUCACGUCUGAUUAGCUAGUUGGUGAGGUAACGGCUCACCAAGGCGACGAUCAGUAGCCGGUCUGAGAGGAUGAACGGCCACAUUGGGACUGAGAUACGGCCCAG
rnacentral:rRNA from 1 species